rnacentral:misc_RNA from 1 species
GAGAAUGAAGAAGGCAGCUAAACAAGUCACACUACCAUUGUAGGAUAUGGGUUAUUUUGAAAGGCUACUUGGUAUUUCUUGGUAUUCUCGUAGUUUAAUCGAGGAAAAACGAUAAAAAAGUUGUGAACUGUUUUUCUCAGGACAAAUAUCUUUUCUUACUACAUCUGCUUUAACUGAGAAUCAUUUGUGUAACUACUUGUUUGUGCAACAGUUAUGUCCUUUGUAUCCACACA